UAUGUGAUCGUCUCUCGCAUAUCAAUAAGCGGAGGAAAAGAAACUAACAAGGAUUCCCCUAGUAACGGCGAGUGAAGCGGGAAGAGCUCAAAUUUGAAAUCUUAAAGGGCUUCCCUUUACGAAUUGUAGUUUAAAGAAGUGUUUUCUGUUGAGGUUUUGGUAAAAGUUCUUUGGAAUAGGACAUCAUAGAGGGUGAGAAUCCCGUAUUUGACCUUUACUUUCAACUUUGUGAUACACUUUCAAAGAGUCGGAUUGUUUGGGAAUGCAGUCCAAAAUGGGUGGUAAAUUUCAUCUAAAGCUAAAUAUUGGCGAGAGACCGAUAGCGAACAAGUACCGUGAGGGAAAGAUGAUAAGAACUUUGAAAAGAGAGUUAAACAGUACGUGAAAUUGUCAAAAGGGAAGCGUUUGACACCAGUGUUGUUUUUCUGAAAAUCAAUUAAAGAACUGUUUAUGCUAGGCUGUUUAGACUUUAUCAGCUAUCUGUUUAGUUUUGAGCUUUUCUUUAAUGCACUUUUCAGUUAACAAGUCAACAUCAAUUUCUUUUGCUGUAAAAAAGCUUGAGGAAGGUGGCUUGAGAUUCGUCUUAAGUGUUUAUAGCCUCUUGCCUAUGCAGUCGGAGAGAUUGAGGUCUGCAGCGUAGAUCCUUCGGGGCUAAAUGCAUUUGUGCUAAGUUAUAGCAUUUUAUAGACAACUUGUUGACUAUGAUUUGUCUUGUAGCUUACUCGCUUAUGUUAUUUUACCUACGCUUAGGAUGUUGAGCGCAUGUCUCUCUCU
rnacentral:rRNA from 1 species